GCCUGGUGGUUCCUAGAGUCAGCUCCAAAGUGCUGAACUUUUGGGUUUUUAUUAACAGGCGCAAAUUGAUUCUGCAGUUUUAUGCAUGGAAGCUGUCAACAUAGCAGCCUUCCAUAGCCCGGUUGCAGAUACAUUU
rnacentral:snoRNA from 1 species